GACGAACGCUGGCGGCGUGCUUAACACAUGCAAGUCGAACGGAAAGGCCCUGCUUUUGUGGGGUGCUCGAGUGGCGAACGGGUGAGUAACACGUGAGUAACCUGCCCUUGACUUUGGGAUAACUUCAGGAAACUGGGGCUAAUACCGGAUAGGAGCUCCUGCUGCAUGGUGGGGGUUGGAAAGUUUCGGCGGUUGGGGAUGGACUCGCGGCUUAUCAGCUUGUUGGUGGGGUAGUGGCUUACCAAGGCUUUGACGGGUAGCCGGCCUGAGAGGGUGACCGGCCACGUUGGGACUGGGAUACGGCCCAGACUCCUGCGGGAGGCAGCAGUGGAGAAUAUUGCACAAUGGGCGGAAGCCUGAUGCAGCAACGCCGCGUGCGGGAUGACGGCCUUCGGGUUGUAAACCGCUUUCGCCUGUGACGAAGCGUGAGUGACGGUAAUGGGUAAAGAAGCACCGGCUAACUACGUG
rnacentral:rRNA from 1 species